AUGGCUACGAAGAAAUAUUUUUUCUGCUAUGGAUCCUUCUUGAUUAAGGAUGGUUCGGAAAUUAGAUUCUGGGACGACAAGUGGCUAGGAAAUGCCACACUCCGGGAACAAUAUCCGGCUCUAUACAACAUUGUGCGCCACAAGGGUGAUACUAUCGCCAGAGUAAUGGAAUCAUUUCCGCCCAAUGUGACGCUCAGAAGAGAUUUAGUUGGACCCAGACUCCAAUCGUGGAAUAUCUUGCUACAGCGAUUGUCCAUGGUGCAAUUGUCACAUGGGUCUGAUGUAUUUCGAUGAAACCUCCAUGGGAAUGGACAAUUCUCAGUGGAGUCUAUGUAUAGAGCGUUAAUCCAGUCUGAUGUGCCAGCUGAUAAUAAUAAGAAAAUCUAG
rnacentral:rRNA from 1 species